UACGUAGGCAGCGAGCGUUGUUCGGAUUUACUGGGCGUAAAGCGCACGUAGGCGGAUCGUUAAGUGAGGGGUGAAAUCCCAGGGCUCAACCCUGGAACUGCCUUUCAUACUGGCGAUCUUGAGUCCGGAAGAGGUGAGUGGAACUCCUAGUGUAGAGGUGGAAUUCGUAGAUAUUAGGAAGAACACCAGUGGCGAAGGCGGCUCACUGGUCCGGUACUGACGCUGAGGUGCGAAAGCGUGGGGAGCAAACAGG
rnacentral:rRNA from 1 species